CAGAGGAUCCAGCAAGGAUGAAGAAAUGGAGCAGCACAGACUUGGGAGCAGCUGUGGACCCACUCCAACAGGACACCUGCCCAGACCCCCUGGAUGGAGACCCUAACUCCAGGCCACCUCCAGCCAAGCCCCCGCUCUCCACGGCCAAGAGCCGCACCCGGCUCUUUGGGAAGGGUGACUCAGAGGAGGCUUUCCCGGUGGAUUGCCCUCAUGAGGAAGGUGAGCUGGACUCCUGCCCGACCAUCACAGUCAGCCCUGUUAUCACCAUCCAGAGGCCAGGAGAUGGCCCCACCGGUGCCAGGCUGCUGUCCCAGGACUCUGUCACAGCCAGCACCGAGAAGACCCUCAGGCUCUAUGAUCGCAGGAGUAUCUUUGAAGCCGUUGCUCAGAAUAACUGCCAGGAUCUGGAGAGCCUGCUGCUCUUCCUGCAGAAGAGCAAGAAGCACCUCACGGACAACGAGUUCAAAGGUGGCCCCAGCGCUGGGCUCCGGGGAGGGCCCCAACCCUGGCCUGCCCUGACCCUCCCUUUGUCUUUCAGACCCUGAGACAGGGAAGACCUGUCUGCUGAAAGCCAUGCUCAACCUGCACGAUGGGCAGAACAACACCAUCCCCCUGCUCCUGGAGAUCGCGCGGCAGACGGACAGCCUGAAGGAGUUUGUCAACGCCAGCUAUACAGACAGCUACUACAAGGGCCAGACAGCGUUGCACAUCGCCAUCGAGAGGCGCAACAUGGCCCUGGUGACCCUGCUGGUGGAGAACGGAGCAGACGUCCAGGCUGCAGCCCAUGGGGAUUUCUUUAAGAAAACCAAAGGGCGGCCUGGAUUCUACUUUGGUGAACUGCCCCUGUCCCUGGCCGCGUGCACCAACCAGCUGGGCAUCGUGAAGUUCCUGCUGCAGAACUCCUGGCAGCCGGCCGACAUCAGCGCCAGGGACUCGGUGGGCAACACAGUGCUGCACGCCCUGGUGGAGGUGGCCGACAACACGGCCGACAACACGAAGUUUGUGACGAGCAUGUACAAUGAGAUUCUGAUCCUGGGGGCCAAACUGCACCCAACGCUGAAGCUGGAGGAGCUCACCAACAAGAAGGGAAUGACGCCGCUGGCUCUGGCCGCUGGGACUGGGAAGAUUGGGGUCUUGGCCUAUAUCCUCCAGCGGGAGAUCCAGGAGCCUGAGUGCAGGCACCUGUCCAGGAAGUUCACUGAGUGGGCCUACGGGCCCGUGCACUCCUCGCUGUAUGACCUGUCCUGCAUCGACACCUGUGAGAAGAACUCGGUGCUGGAGGUGAUCGCCUACAGCAGCAGCGAGACCCCUAAUCGCCACGACAUGCUAUUGGUGGAGCCACUGAACCGACUCCUGCAGGACAAGUGGGACAGAUUCGUCAAGCGCAUCUUCUACUUCAACUUCUUCGUCUACUGCUUGUACAUGGUCGUCUUCACCGUGGCUGCCUACUACAGGCCCGUGGAUGGCUUGCCUCCCUUUAAGAUGGAAAAAACUGAAGACUAUUUCCGAGUUACUGGAGAGAUCCUGUCUGUGUUAGGAGGAGUCUACUUCUUUUUCCGAGGGAUCCAGUAUUUCCUGCAGAGGCGGCCAUCGAUGAAGACCCUGUUUGUGGACAGCUACAGUGAGAUGCUUUUCUUUCUGCAGUCACUGUUCAUGCUGGCCACCGUGGUGCUGUACUUCAGCCACCUCAAGGAGUACGUGGCUUCUAUGGUGUUCUCCCUGGCCUUGGGCUGGACCAAUAUGCUCUACUACACCCGCGGUUUCCAGCAGAUGGGCAUCUAUGCUGUCAUGAUAGAGAAGAUGAUCCUGAGAGACCUGUGCCGUUUCAUGUUUGUCUACGUCGUCUUCUUGUUCGGAUUUUCCACAGCGGUGGUGACGCUGAUUGAAGACGGGAAGAAUGACUCCCUGCCGUCUGAGUCCACGUCACACAGGUGGCGGGGGCCUGGCUGCAGGCCACCCGAUAGCUCCUACAACAGCCUGUACUCCACCUGCCUGGAGCUGUUCAAGUUCACCAUCGGCAUGGGUGACCUGGAGUUCACUGAGAACUAUGACUUCAAGGCUGUCUUCAUCAUUCUGCUGCUGUCCUAUGUAAUUCUCACCUACAUCCUCCUGCUCAACAUGCUCAUCGCCCUCAUGGGUGAGACUGUCAACAAGAUCGCACAGGAGAGCAAGAACAUCUGGAAGCUGCAGAGGGCCAUCACCAUCCUGGACACGGAGAAGAGCUUCCUUAAGUGCAUGAGGAAGGCCUUCCGCUCAGGCAAGCUGCUGCAGGUGGGAUACACACCUGAUGGCAAGGACGACUACAGGUGGUGCUUCAGGGUGGACGAGGUGAACUGGACCACCUGGAACACCAACGUGGGCAUCAUCAAUGAAGACCCGGGCAACUGUGAGGGCGUCAAGCGCACCCUGAGCUUCUCCCUGCGGUCAAGCAGAGUUUCAGGCAGACACUGGAAGAACUUUGCCCUGGUCCCCCUUUUAAGAGAGGCAAGUGCUCGAGAUAGGCAGUCUGCUCAGCCUGAGGAAGUUCAUCUGCGACAGUUUUCAGGGUCUCUGAAGCCAGAAGACGCUGAGGUCUUCAAGAGUCCUGCCGCUUCCGGGGAGAAGUGAGGACCUCACGCAGACAGCACUGUCAACACUGGGCCUU
rnacentral:sRNA from 1 species